rnacentral:lncRNA from 1 species
AUCAGUGAACAACAACAACAAAAGAAGGUGCUUACACUUUUAUCCCAUGUGGAUUUCUUUUUAAUAUUUCAGAGCAAUGAACAUGUGGCUGUUACUAUCAGCACUAGUGUAUUGGCGGCGAUGCCUAUCAACAUCCACCAGAGAGCAGGGCAGCUCCAAAACCCACAUCUUUUAUGCUGUGGAAAUUGAUGGAGACAGCAACACAGCCAGCUUCUUGGCCAAACAACAUGGAAUGCAGUUCAUUUCAAAGCCUGUAAGGCUUGUGCAUGAUGUAUAUGAGAGCGAUUUCCAGCAGAGCGAAGCUUAUCACAGAUCCACCUAAAAGGAAGAGAGAGUGGCAUCAACAGCAUGCCCCUGUGUCUGGAAGACAUUGCUCGAUGGAAGAACAGUCUGUUAGACUCCCCAUGGGCAUGAUGGAAGGGAUCCCGGUGAGGAAAGAAAAUAUUUCCAGGAACUGAAGGAAUGGUUAUAGCAUCUCUAAAGAGGACAUUUGCCUGUGACUGAUAAAUAGAAAGGAAGCUUUCUGCCACUGUAGGUUGUGCUGAAGACUGCACCUUUUCCUGCCAGGUAUGGAAUUUGCUACAGUAAUUCAAGGCUUGUUGAUCAUUGUGUUGGAUUACUUCUGGCUCUCCUACUUGGAGUUGUCAGCUGAAAAGCGCAGAAACAUCAGGUGUUAAAGCCUGAUGAAAUUUCUAAGUAGCAUAAAGUAGAGCGCAGCCUGUUAUUUAGAUGUGUCAGCAGCAAAUAGCAUCAAAAUAUCUUCAAGGACGUGGUCAUUCUCUACAGACCUCCUGCUGGGUGAGAACCUUUGGGAUAGAGCCCCUGUGACACCCCCAUGCAUAAUACUUUCAAGUAAGGACUGAAUCCUUUUAGUGGAGAUUCUUUGGACUGAAAAUAUGGGUAGGAUUUGCCAGCAGGUAAUGGGAAUGCCCCUUUUUGCAUACCACUUCCUCCAGGACAGUGACAUCUCUUCCAUCCAUUACAUUCCUCUGCAAUCCACAUACUUUUCAAAAAUAAUUAUGUUUCUACCAGCACUUAUAAUUAGGUUUCAGUAUGGUAUUUGAUGUAUGUUGUAUUAUGAUAUUUUCCCUGUAAAUUCUUAUGUAUGCAUUUAUUUUCAUGAUACUUCAAUAAAAACAUCAAAAUUGAAAUUCA